rnacentral:rRNA from 1 species
UACGAAGGGGGCUAGCGUUGCUCGGAAUCACUGGGCGUAAAGCGCACGUAGGCGGAUUGUUAAGUCAGGGGUGAAAUCCUGGAGCUCAACUCCAGAACUGCCUUUGAUACUGAGGAUCUUGAGUUCGGGAGAGGUGAGUGGAACUGCGAGUGUAGAGGUGAAAUUCGUAGAUAUUCGCAAGAACACCAGUGGCGGAGGCGGCUCACUGGCCCGAUACUGACGCUGAGGCACGAAAGCGUGGGGAGCGAACCGG